rnacentral:lncRNA from 1 species
AAGACUUUCUAAAGGAUGUUGAAUUUGGGCAGACAUCACAGAGAAGAGAACUUGGCAUCACGUCCUGACCUUACUGAUAAAGACAAUAAUGACAGAAAUACUUCACAUUUGUUUUGCACAGGGUUUGAAGACCUCUCAAAGAUGGCUCAACAAGCCUCAAUCUGUUUCCAGUAUUAGAAACAAUGCUGUAUUGGUGAAAUGCCACCUUUAUCCACAUCAAUCCUUGAGGAAAUUUUCAUUAAUCAGUGAUGAUGUUCUAGGUGCUGAUGGAACUACUGAAGCUCAUCUUCCAUGUGUAGCACCAGCUGGAUUCCCUGGCCAUUAUAUCAUUAAACCAGGAGAUUCAGCUCAACUUCCAAGGGGAAAAAAUGGAAUUGAGAUAAACAGGAAGAAAAAAAUCUCCAUUUCUGAAUUCCAAUCACAUAGCCUCAGGACUACUUAAAAACUCCUUUUAAUUUGAUGAAUAGUGGAAGCUGCUGUUGAAAGUUAACUCUAUAGUAGGUGGAUUUUCAACUGAAGACAGGUAGAGCCUCUUUUUUUUUCUUCCCCUACCUUCCUUUUGAAAAGAAUUUGAAUUAGGUAUCCAAUGGUUGUUCCCAAUCAAGAGCCCUAGCAAGAUAAGAGGGCAUUGCUGGCUAACGCAUCCCCAAAGAUAAGAGAGCUUAUUUCAUUGAAUUAUUGAGUUGAUAAGACAACAGCAUGCAGCCUUCUGUCCUUAUUCCAUUUGGGAUGCUACUGCACAGGAGGAAUAAGCCAUAAAUAUUUGACAAACUAAUCACUUGCAGUGGGUUGCUCCUCUUAAAAUGGGACAUGGCAACAGCUGUGGGAUUUAUGCCCAGCUAUCCCUCUGCCUGCUGCCUGAGCCACUUUUGCAGCCCUGCUGAUGGAGAACAGGAUACUGGUGAGGUAGAAUUUAGAAGUGGAAAAGACCUGAGCAAACCUCUCAUCCAAAUUUCUUGUUUUAAAGAAUAUAGGGUCAUAUAUUUUGAGCCAGAAGGGGAAGCCAAGGCCAUCUAGUCCAAUCACCUCAUUUUAUUGUUGUUUCAUUGUUUUUUAGUCAUGUCCAACUCUUCAUGACCCCAUUUGGGCUUUUCUUGGCAAAAAUACUGGAG